rnacentral:tRNA from 1 species
GCAUUGGUAGCUCAAUUCCAGAGCACCGGUCUUGUAAGCCGGAGGUCGGAGGCUAAAAUCCUCCCCAACGCU